AUUGUCUAUUGAGUUCGGGCGAUUUUCCGCAACUCGACGUCUUGCGCCUAUUUUGCGUGAUAGGGGAAGAAGGAGGGUGGGCUAGUCCUGCCAGCCCAGCUCCUCGAGGAAUCCUAUCAAACCUUUGAUGUUGAGUAGGACCUCGGGGAGGUCUCUCGGGGAUCGGAGAUGUUUUGCCCUGUAUGGGGCCAAUCCGCUUCAUUCCAACACCA